GACAUCAAAGCCCUUUUGGAGGAUGAAGGAGAGAGCUCUGCAUUAUCACAUCCACUCUGUUUUACUCUAUAAAGACACCACUUUCAGAGAUCCUGAAUAAUUAAGGCCGUCUAAGAGUAGCUCUCUAAUAAAAGGAUCCCUGCCAGCCUGCUUGCCAGCCUGUCUGCUCAUCCGCCUGCUCAUUCGUUCUCCCUCACAACCUCCCGUCAACCACACCACCUUGCCAACUCCAUUCCUCCUGCCCUCUCCAGCCAUCCCCGGUCAUCUCGUCCCCUUUUGAAGUACAUUACAAUAAAUCCCUCAAACGUCA